AAUUUCGAUCUCGUUGAAUUUGGACCAAAUCGUAAUUUCCGCAACUUUCAUCAUCGUCUUUCAAUGACAAAUAUUUUGUAUAAUCAACAGAGAACGUUCACGGUUACAACAAUUUUGAUGACAGAAACAAUUGCAGACAGCAGAGAUAAAGGUCGCGCUUUUUUUUUUAGUUUUACAUUAUACGGGAGUGUUCGAAUUUAGUGAAAGUGGCGGUCGUUUAAUAUGUUUAUAAUGUAAAAUAUUUUUUUCUUAUUCUCGUUAUACAGCGUAUACGGAUACCGCUGUACGUGUCGCGACGGAUUUAAAAUCUAUUAGCUUCGGGAGUGUUCGACAUUUUUAUAAUCGCGAACGAAAUUUUCUUAGGGUGUGUUUUUGAAAAUUCGUUUUCGUUGUUUGUCUUUCGUUAUAUAUAUAUACAAGACAACUCGUUACGCGCGCGUUCGAAUUACAAUUUAAAUCGCGAUCGUAUUUUUGCGCGAAUAUUAAAAGUUUAUUUUAAAUUUGG